rnacentral:rRNA from 1 species
ACAUGGGGGAAACCCUGAUCCAGCCAUGCCGCGUGUGUGAAGAAGCCUUUUGGUUGUAAAGCACUUUAAGCAGUGAAGAAGACUCUUCGGUUAAUACCCGGAGACGAUGACAUUAGCUGCAGAAUAAGCACCGGCUAACUCGUGCCAGCAGCCGCGGUAAUACAGAGGGUGCAAGCGUUAAUCGGAAUUACUGGGCGUAAAGCGAGCGUAGGUGGCUUGAUAAGUCAGAUGUGAAAUCCCCGGGCUUAACCUGGGAACUGCAUCUGAAACUGUUAGGCUAGAGUAGGUGAGAGGGAAGUAGAAUUUCAGGUGUAGCGGUGAAAUGCGUAGAGAUCUGAAGGAAUACCGAUGGCGAAGGCAGCUUCCUGGCAUCAUACUGACACUGAGGCUCGAAAGCGUGGGUAGCAAACAGGAUUAGAUACCCUGGUAGUCCACGCCGUAAACGAUGUCUACUAGUCGUUGGGUCCCUUGAGGACUUAGUGACGCAGCUAACGCAAUAAGUAGACCGC